rnacentral:rRNA from 1 species
UUUAUGGAGAGUUUGAUCCUGGCUCAGGAUGAACGCUGGCGGCGUGCCUAAUACAUGCAAGUCGAGCGAACGGACGAGAAGCUUGCUUCUCUGAUGUUAGCGGCGGACGGGUGAGUAACACGUGGAUAACCUACCUAUAAGACUGGGAUAACUUCGGGAAACCGGAGCUAAUACCGGAUAAUAUUUUGAACCGCAUGGUUCAAAAGUGAAAGACGGUCUUGCUGUCACUUAUAGAUGGAUCCGCGCUGCAUUAGCUAGUUGGUAAGGUAACGGCUUACCAAGGCAACGAUGCAUAGCCGACCUGAGAGGGUGAUCGGCCACACUGGAACUGAGACACGGUCCAGACUCCUACGGGAGGCAGCAGUAGGGAAUCUUCCGCAAUGGGCGAAAGCCUGACGGAGCAACGCCGCGUGAGUGAUGAAGGUCUUCGGAUCGUAAAACUCUGUUAUUAGGGAAGAACAUAUGUGUAAGUAACUGUGCACAUCUUGACGGUACCUAAUCAGAAAGCCACGGCUAACUACGUGCCAGCAGCCGCGGUAAUACGUAGGUGGCAAGCGUUAUCCGGAAUUAUUGGGCGUAAAGCGCGCGUAGGCGGUUUUUUAAGUCUGAUGUGAAAGCCCACGGCUCAACCGUGGAGGGUCAUUGGAAACUGGAAAACUUGAGUGCAGAAGAGGAAAGUGGAAUUCCAUGUGUAGCGGUGAAAUGCGCAGAGAUAUGGAGGAACACCAGUGGCGAAGGCGACUUUCUGGUCUGUAACUGACGCUGAUGUGCGAAAGCGUGGGGAUCAAACAGGAUUAGAUACCCUGGUAGUCCACGCCGUAAACGAUGAGUGCUAAGUGUUAGGGGGUUUCCGCCCCUUAGUGCUGCAGCUAACGCAUUAAGCACUCCGCCUGGGGAGUACGACCGCAAGGUUGAAACUCAAAGGAAUUGACGGGGACCCGCACAAGCGGUGGAGCAUGUGGUUUAAUUCGAAGCAACGCGAAGAACCUUACCAAAUCUUGACAUCCUUUGACAACUCUAGAGAUAGAGCCUUCCCCUUCGGGGGACAAAGUGACAGGUGGUGCAUGGUUGUCGUCAGCUCGUGUCGUGAGAUGUUGGGUUAAGUCCCGCACCGAGCGCAACCCUUAAUCUUAGUCGCCAUCAUUAAGUUGGGCACUCUAAGUUGACUGCCGGUGACAAACCGGAGGAAGGUGGGGAUGACGUCAAAUCAUCAUGCCCCUUAUGAUUUGGGCUACACACGUGCUACAAUGGACAAUACAAAGGGCAGCGAAACCGCGAGGUCAAGCAAAUCCCAUAAAGUUGUUCUCAGUUCGGAUUGUAGUCUGCAACUCGACUACAUGAAGCUGGAAUCGCUAGUAAUCGUAGAUCAGCAUGCUACGGUGAAUACGUUCCCGGGUCUUGUACACACCGCCCGUCACACCACGAGAGUUUGUAACACCCGAAGCCGGUGGAGUAACCUUUUAGGAGCUAGCCGUCGAAGGUGGGACAAAUGAUUGGGGUGAAGUCGUAACAAGGUAGCCGUAUCGGAAGGUGCGGCUGGAUCACCUCCUUUCU